rnacentral:rRNA from 1 species
UACGUAGGGGGCAAGCGUUGUCCGGGUUUAUUGGGCGUAAAGAGCGUGUAGGCGGUCAGGUAGGUCCGUUGUGAAAACUCGAGGCUCAACCUCGAGACGCCGAUGGAAACCAUCUGACUAGAGUCCGGAAGAGGAGAGUGGAAUUCCUGGUGUAGCGGUGAAAUGCGCAGAUAUCAGGAAGAACACCCGUGGCUAAGGCGGCUCUCUAGUACGGUACUGACGCUGAGACGCGAAAGCGUGGGGAGCGAACAGG